rnacentral:tRNA from 1 species
GGGGAUAUAGCGUAGUGGUAGCGCAGCGGCUUCCAAACCCGUUAGCGGCGGUUCGAUUCCGUCUAUCCCUGCCA